rnacentral:rRNA from 1 species
UACGGAGGGAGCUAGCGUUAUUCGGAAUUACUGGGCGUAAAGCGCACGUAGGCGGCUUUGUAAGUAAGAGGUGAAAGCCCAGAGCUCAACUCUGGAAUCGCCUUUUAGGACUGCAUCGCUUGGAAUCAUGGAGAGGUCAGUGGAAUUCCGAGUGUAGAGGUGAAAUUCGUAGAUAUUCGGAAGAACACCAGUGGCGAAGGCGGCUGACUGGACAUGUAUUGACGCUGAGGUGACGAAAGCGUGGGGGAGCAAACAGG